rnacentral:lncRNA from 12 species
GGGGGGGGGGGGGGGGGGGGGGGGGGGGGGGGGGGGGGGGGGGGGGGGCCUCUCGGGAGCGGCACCGGCCUCUCGCGAGCGGGGGCUGCCGCCGCCCCGGAGCGCCCGGCCGCACCGGCCUGUCCGGGUCCCCGCUCCCCAGCGCAUCUCCCGCAGCGCCCGGCUCCGGCCUCCCGCUUGCCGCUCGCCUCUGCCCUGAUCGCUGCGCCCGCUGGGUGCCCGCACCCGGCAGCGCAUUGCUUUGGGGUGACAUGGAAGUGUCCCGGGAGCCUUGUUUUGCAUCACUAGAAGUAGCAGGCGUGGAGCAACUCUGUGCAGGUGUUCCCUGGGAGCCUUGUUCUGCAUCACUAGAAUUAGCAGGCGUGGAGCAACUCUGUGCAGGUGUUCUGUUGGGAUUUCGCUCAGCCUGCGGUUUACUUCACGUCCUGCAUCAAGGCUCUGCCCUGUCUCUUCAUGUUCCAGUCCCAUUCCUUCCCUUGUUUCCGUCACUGCAUCAUUCAAGCAGCAAGACUUGGAUUUGUGGCAGUGCUGUAGCUGCAGAGGAGCAGACUGAGUUGCCCCUUAAGCAGGAAAACUGGGCAGUGUGGAAGUGCUGGGGAGAAGCUCUUUCAACCAUCUCAGUGAGAGCUUUGCCUUCCCACUUGGUCUUGGAGGGCUGUGCUCAGAUUGAGUGGAGACCUCUGGAAUGAAGAUUUACAGGAAUACCAUUGAAGGAAUGUAUGUUCCAUUCAGGAAGAAUUGUUUCUCCUGUAAUUUAUUUGUGGAAUUCCAAGAGUGUUUGCUUUAUUUAAUGGCUGCACAAAUUCCCUCCCAGGAGAGGCUGCAGAUUUAAUAAAACUUACGUACCUUGGCC